rnacentral:rRNA from 1 species
GUGCACCAGUCGCGAAAACUCUGCAAUACGCGAAAGCGUGACAAGGCUACCCCGAGUGUCGUCCGCUGAGGACGACUUUUCCACGCUGUAAAGAGGCGUGGGAAUAAGGAGAGGGCAAGUCUGGUGUCAGCCGCCGCGGUAAUACCAGCUCUCCGCGUGGUAGGGACGUUUAUUGUGCUUAAAGCGUCCGUAGCCGGCUCAGCAAGUCUCCCGUUAAAUCCAACGAUUCAAUCGUUGGACUGCGGGAGAUACUGCUGGGCUCGGAGGCGAGAGAGGCCGACGGUAUUCCCGGAGUAGGGGUGAAAUCUUAUAAUUCCGGGAGGAACACCAGUGGCGAAGGCUGUCGGCUAGAACGCGCUCGACGGUGAGGGACGAAAGCUGGGGGAGCGAACCGGAUUAGAUACCCGGGUAGUCC